GUCUGUUAGAGGAUAACGACAGACACAGCAGAUGAUUAGUGGGUCGUAAUAAUAUAACUAGUCCACACACUUUGACCUGAGAGGCCUCUUAAGUGCACCGUCUGCUCCAAGAAGACUGCUGGCUGCAACAGAAGACGGAAACCUUCGGGGUGGAUGAGAUGAACGAAUGAAUGGUGACACAUUCACAUCCUAAAGCGUGCGUCAUUUACAAGAAUGCAUGUACAGGCACAUUUUCUACAGCGCACCAGGGCCGACCACACCGGAUGGCAGCCUGAUACAGCAGUUCUACAACUUAUCUAGAAGUUAUUCUGGGUUAUUUUAAAUAAAAGUCCAUCAGAGGCCUCCUUGACCCCUGUCUAUACUG
ensembl:lncRNA